rnacentral:rRNA from 1 species
CCUACGGGAGGCAGCAGUGAGGAAUAUUGGUCAAUGGACGGAAGUCUGAACCAGCCAUGCCGCGUGCAGGAAGACGGUUCUAUGAGUUGUAAACUGCUUUUGUACAAGGGUAAACCUGAAUACGUGUAUUCAGCUGAAAGUACUGUACGAAUAAGGAUCGGCUAACUCCGUGCCAGCAGCCGCGGUAAUACGGAGGAUCCAAGCGUUAUCCGGAUUUAUUGGGUUUAAAGGGUGCGUAGGCGGGUUGAUAAGUUAGAGGUGAAAUGUCCGAGCUUAACUCGGGCACUGCCUCUAAUACUGUUGAUCUAGAGAGGGGAAGCAGUAGGCGGAAUGUAUGGUGUAGCGGUGAAAUGCUUAGAGAUCAUACAGAACACCGAUUGCGAAGGCAGCUUACCAAUCUAUAUCUGACGUUGAGGCACGAAAGCGUGGGGAGCGAACAGGAUUAGAUACCCCAGUAGUC